rnacentral:lncRNA from 1 species
GAGCUAACCUAGAGGUAAGCUUCUAACCCUAGCUUAUGAAACUUAGGGUUUUUGGAUUUUGAGCUUUGGAAAUGGGGUCAAAUGGACCCCUAGUAGCAUUGUUGGUGGAUUGAAGCUAGAGUUAGGGUUCCAAAAUGCAAAUGGCUUGAUGGGAACCCUAGGGGACCAAAAUAGGGUUUUUGGUAAAGUAUGAGAUUGAUUUCAUUUAAGGCCUUGUAAACCUAAUUGCUAGGUAAUGAAACGCGGGGGCGAAGUCGGAAUUUCGAUUCAUUGAGCGGGUCAAGAGCUAUCGGUAAAACAAGGCCGAUUGAGCAUCAUUUGGACCAAGAAGACCGAGGCUUUGUCGUAAAGGACGCCGAAGCGCAUUUCUGAAGCCUCCAUACCCUUAAGAGGUGGGGGGUGUCAUCCCGAAGCAACCGGAUUUCCUUUUAUGCCUAAGUUAAUUUUAUUCAUCAUAUGUUGAUUGUGCAUUAUAGGAUUAGUAGAAGUAUAUUUCCAUUCCUUGCAUGCUUACUUAGUAGUGUAGCGGUAUAGACUUAACUCUUGGACUAGGGAGGCAUGAGGAUUGGGUCUUGAGACAAAGAAUCCUAUAGUGGCAAAAGUGAUGAACUUGGACAUAGCCUAGUAGAGGGGCAUUUAACUAGUGUAGUAGAAACACUAAACUUGAACGAGUGGCAUGUCAACUAGUAGAAAACUUAUUACAAUGAUCGAACGAGUGGUAUCGAGUCUAGUGUAGUAAACAUGACAUGGUUCUAGGGACAGUAGAGAUCCCAGCAUCUAGGAUGCAUUGUAUAUUGUGCAGCAGAGGCACAUUGACCCUAGUAGACAGGGUAUCCUCUUGUGAGGAUUGGAUCAUACUCACUAGUCUAUUUUUGCUUGUCGGUGGUCGCUCCAACGAGGCACGAGUCUUCGGAGUACUUCACUAGGGGCAGACGUAGUUGUCCCGCAAACGGUCUCGGUGUCCGAGUACAGUUUCUCCUCACCUAUGAGAUUGAGAGUGAGUCGAGGGUUAACCUUCGGGUUAACCAAGUAAAUUGGGUAAUAAACAUGAAAUGUAUAGUAGACUUACAUUAUUACCUUGAGUAGACAUAGUAUGUGUUAUAGUUUGCAUUACUAUGUACUUUUAUAUACUCAUGACAUGAUACUAGCAUGAUAGUAGUUGUUUCAUUCAUUCUUAUCCUUGAUGGCAUGAUAGAGUAGUUGCAGUUCAUUUCCUUAAAUAUCUAUCUAUCUCUCUAUCUGUGCUAGCUUAGACCUAGUGGGAAAACCGGCAGCGUCGGCGGCCGAACCCACUGGGAACUAUAUUUAUAUAGUUCUCACCCCGUGUGGUUUUGGGGUAUAGGUACACAUAGAGGCGAGUCGAGCAAGGACCGCGGCAAGGGCAUAAGGCCCUAAGUGAGCUUAGUUAGUAGCUUUUCCUUUAUGCACUAGAGUACCCUCGUGUACUAGAUGAUGUUUUGGAUAGUUAUUGGAGAGCUACUUGUAUUUUGAGGAAAACAUGUAUUCACAUUUUGAAAAAUGAAAAUGUAAUAUAUUCAAAUAAUGUAAAUGUUGAAUGGUUGUAAUAGUUGGACUAUCUCUCUUUAUACACUCGUAUAUUUACUUGUGGUUCUUGCUCUUAGUUAUAGUGCACUUGUGUGCAUCGUAUCGAUCAUGUAUGUUAUUUAAGCCUUCCCUGGGCGCUUAUCUGUACAUGAUCUAGUUGUUUUGCCUUGGUCGGACAGGAGAGGUGCUGUCCGUUCGGCGGUCCGUCCGGCGCGCCCGAACCGUGCCAAAUUGGUAGUGGAUUCGGGGCGGGGCGUGACAGUUACGAUGUCAAUGUGUUGUACAUUUACUCUCUCAUGAUGAAGAAUGUCCAAUGCAUAAGUAAUAUGUCCCAACCUGGCAACAAGUAUCAUGUCCCGUUCUAUCAAUAUAUGAUGAUUAUACUCUAUCAUGGCAACCAAGUAUACAAUGAUACAAUAAGUAAACUAUCAAGUAUACUACAUGUCUCCACCCUAUGCUAUAAGCAUGUCAUAGUAAUCCAACUACUAAUCCUAUCUAGUAGUGAUUAUCAUCUCCCGAUUAAAUGUCAUUGUUUCCAACAUGUUCUAGGACCUACAUGUUGUAGUCCAGCUUGUGCCACCUAAGUGUCGGUGGUAGCUCCAGCAUUCCCACUCUAGGAAUGAGUCUAUCCCUCCCGACCCCGUAGGUUUUCUCGAUACCGCACGAGCGAGUAUAAGUCGUGUAGGCCAACUCCGGAGUGCCGGCUUGUAGGGAGCGACCCUCACAAGCAUGUGCGAAUGAGCACAAAUGGCAAACAAGCGUAAUCAUCGUCUCAAGUACCCAAUCAUUAUGUCUCUAACAUGGUAAUAGUCACUAGCAUCUCAAUAAUUUAGCUCUAGGUCACAAUGUGAAGUUCCAAUAUUCACUAUGCUUAGUGCCUCUUUAUGACACUUAAGCUUAUUAUAAGUUAAGCACAUUUCAUAUUCUAUGUACCAUUUAUGACAUUAGUACUAGGUUCUCAUCUAAACUCGAGCUCAAUGCCCCUUUAUGAUAUUAGCUCACUAACUCGCAAGACAAAUUAGUCCAAUGCCGCUUUAUGACAUUAUAAUAGUUUCAAUAUCCAAUUGAGAUCUAAGUCCAUAGGCACUUUACAUACGUCAUUUCUACUAGGUAAACAUGAACCAAAGUCUCUCAUAAGAAUGCUAUGCACAUAUACGCCUCACAUGCAAGUUCUCUACUUCAUAAAGGUCCGAAAAUACACUGUAUGUAACAUAGCCAUUUUAAGCAUUCUAAAAUUCAUAAUAAAUAUAUUUAAUAUGAUUAUGCAUGCGUUUUCAUUUAACGAUACUCAAAUCAUCACAAAUGAGACUUUCUCAUUGUGUGGCUAGGUCAAACCCACGGAACCGUCUCGUAGUCCUUCGUUUCGCCGAACGGAGUUGUCCACAAGUCUCUAAGUACCAUAAAAGUAAGAAGCGAAUAGAUAAACAAACGUUACGAACAACUCUAGGCUCAAACAUUAACCACCACAAGCAAAGGGGCAAAAACUCACCUAGGGAGUAAAAAUCCACCUAGGGAGUAAAAAUCUCUCUCAAGCUCCAAAAGAGAGUUAGAAUCCUUCCAAUCCAACCCAAAGGAAGAUUCUAAUCCAAUCAAUUUAGCUCAAAAGGCCCUAGAAUCAAAAUGUCCAAAAUUAACCCUAAAAUCACAUUCUAAGGUUUCAUCUCCCAAAUUCUACCAAAAAUAGGUCUAGAGGGGAGAAAUGAGCAACUAACCUCCUUAGAAGCUCUAAUCCAAGCUCCAAGGGUGAAGAUCUCCUCUCUUGCAAGCUCCAAGUCCAAGCCUUCAAGCACCAACAUGGUAGGAAGAGAGGGAGAGGAAAAGAAAUGCUCCAAGUCCACAGGCUAGAUCCUCCUCCUCCUCUUCUCCUUCUUCUUCUUCUUCUUCUUCUUCUCUAUCUAGGGUGUUGGGAGAGUGAGAGGAAGAGAAAUGAGAAGGAGAGAAGGUGGAGUGGCCAUAUAGGGCAUCUUAUGUAACAAAAUCCAGAAAAACCCCUCAACUUUGCAACCUGUGCAAAGCUCGGUCUGGGCAAAUUUCGGACUGAGGGACCGAUCUCCCCGAUAUGGGACCGGUCUCUCGGCCUGCCCCGAAAAUCCAACGUUCGGGAACCGGUCUCUCCCCACACGGGACCGGUCUCUUCCCGCGUGGACGCUCUCGGGGACCAGUCUCACACGCCAGGGACCGGUUGCCCCAAGGCUGCCGCAAUACUGUUUUGAGGGGACCGGUCUCUCCUUUCAAGGACCGGUUCCCGAGAGUAAAAACUCUCAUGACUCGUCCAGAACUCAGAUUUUCGAACUUCUUUAGAUCGAAAAACAUUCUACGACCCUCCACCAAGUGUGGAAAAGCUCGAAACAUAAUCAAUCACUCGAACCUCACAAUUUGCACAGGUCCAGUGUGCUACAUUCACCCCUCCUAAAAAGGAGUUUCGUCCGCGAAACUCAAAGCAACUACAUACCUCAAAGCUCCAUCGAAAAAAGAUGGGGAUAGCGCUCCUGCAGCACGCUCUCUAGCUCCCACAUGGCCUCUCGCUCCUCGUGGUUGCUCCAAAGCACCUUCACGUAGGGAAUCUCAUGGUUCCGCAAUCUCUUUACUUCGCGAUCCAGAAUCCUCUAAGGUUGUUCCAAAGAAUCUUCACAUACGGAAUGUCCCGAUUCCGUAGUUUCUUCACCUCACGAGCCAAGAUCUUCACGGGUUGCUCCUUGAAGCUCAAAUCCUCUCUCAGCUCCAAAGGUGUGGCGUCCAACACGUGAGCCGGAUCAUGGAUGUACUUCCGAAGGACCGAUACAUGAAAUACAUUAUGUACACCUGAUAGGUUCGGAGGUAGAGCGAGUCGAUACACUACCGGGCCUACACGCUCCAAAAUCUCACACGGUCCAAUGUAUCGGGGGCUCAGCUUAUCCUGAAUUCUAAAUCUUCUAAUUCCUCUGGUCGGCGAGACUUUCAAGAAGACAUGAUCACCAAUCUGAAACUCCAAGUCUCAUCGACACCUUUCAGCAUAACUCUUUUGCCUACUCUGGGCUGUCAACAGUCGCUCCCGAGCAAUGCGAACCUUGUCCUCCGCUUCCUGGAGCACAUCUGGGCCUAAAGCCAAUCUUACGCCAACUUCACUCCAAUGAAGUGGCGAUCUACAUUUCCGUCCAUAGAGUGCCUCGAAAGGUGCCAUCUUGAUGCUUGCCUGAUAACUGUUGUUAUAAGCAAACUCUGCCAUCGGUAGAUACUGCGACCAUCCUCCCUGGAAGUCAAUCACACAGGCUCGAAAUAUGUCCUCGAGAGUCUGUAUAGUACGCUCUAACUGCCCGUCACUCUGGGGGUGGAAAGCUAUACUGAAGUCCAAGCGCGUACCCAAAGCAUCCUGUAAGCUCCGCCAAAAGUGAGAUACAAAUCGGGGGUCUCGAUCUGAUACAAUAGAAGUAGGUACCCCGUGCAAUCGCACAAUAUCAUCCAAGUAAACCUGUGCUAGUCUCUCACUAGUGCAAAUAGUGUGGAUAGGUAUGAAAUGUGCCAAUUUCGUCGACCUAUCCACGAUCACCCAAAUAGCAUCAUACCCGGCCUGCGAGCGGGGCAAACCCAUCACAAAGUCCAUGGUGAUAUCUCCUAUUUCUAUACUGGUAUCGGUAAACUCUGCAAUUUUUUUGCGGGAACUCGGUGCUCAGCUUUUACCUGUUGGUAAGUUAAACAUCUGGCAACAAACUCACCAACGUCCUUUUUCAUCCCGGGCCACCAAUAAAGCAACUUUAAGUCCUUGUACAUCUUGGUGCCUCCCGGAUGUAUAGUAUAUAGUGCUCGGUAUGCCUCUUAGAGAAUUUCUUCUCUAAGCGUCGAUUUCGCCGGUACACAGAUCCGUCCACGGAAACGCAUCAACCCUUGGUCAUCCACAAGGAAAUCGCUGGUGCAACCAUCAACCAUUUUACCUUUAAUCUUUUGCAACUCCACAUCGGAAGCUUACUUCUCUUUAAUCCUUUCCACAAGUGUAGGUUGCACCACCAAAGUCAUCAGUCUCAAGGGUGUAUCAGGAGCCACCACCUCCAACUCCAACUACUUCAUCUACUCGAUCAGCGGCGGUUGAGUAACCACAAGCAUUGCUAAGUUUUCCGUCGAUUUCCUACUUAGCGCAUCCGCCACCACGUUAUCCUUGCCCGGGUAGUAGAGUAUCGUCAAAUCAUAAUCCUUGAGUAGCUCCAACCAUCUGCGCUGCCUCAAGUUCAACUCCUUCUGAGUGAAUAGAUACUUUAAACUCUUGUGAUCCGUAUAUACUUCGCAUCGCUCGCCGUACAAGUAGUGGCGCCAUAGCUUCAAUGCAAAGACCACGACCGCCAAUUCGAAAUCAUGAGUAGGGUAGUUUCUUUCAUAAUCCUUCAACUGGCGAGAUGCAUACGCAAUCACCUUUCCAUCCUGCAUCAAGACAUAGCCCAAUCCAUUAAAAGAAGCAUCGCUAUAAACCACAUACCCUGCUCCAGCAACUGGUAGGGUCAGGAUUGGGGCAGUUGUCAAUCUCUGCUUCAACUCUUGGAAGCUCCUUUCACACGCAUCAUUCCAAACAAACUUGGUGUCUUUAGGUGUGAGCCUCGUGAGGGGAGUAGACAACUUCGCAAAUCCCUCAACAAACCGUCGGUAGUAGCCGGUCAGGCCAAGAAAACUCCAAAUCUCAGUGACACUCGUCGACCUCGGCCAAUCCCUGAUAGCUUCAAUCUUUCUAAGAUCCACAGCUAUACCUGAUCCAGAAAUCAAAUGGCCUAAAAACGCCACUUCUCUAAGCCAAAACUCACACUUUUUUAAUUUGGCAUAGAGCUCCUUUUCCCGAAGCACUUGAAGUACAAGUCUCAAGUGUUCCUCGUGAUCCGCAUCACUUCGGGAAUAGACCAAAAUGUCGUCGAUGAAUACUACGACGAACCUGUCUAGAUAAGGCUUGAAUACACGGUUCAUUAGAUCCAUAAAAGCUGCUGGGGCAUUAGUAAGCCCAAACGGCAUAACAGUAAACUCAUAAUGUCCAUACCGUGUUCUAAAAGCCGUCUUCGACACAUCCUCAUGCUUGAUCUUCAACUGGUGGUACCCUGACUGCAAGUCGAUCUUGGAAUACACACUAGAUCCCUGGAGCUGAUCAAACAAAUCAUCAAUCCUCGGUAAUGGAUACUUAUUGUUGAUCGUGACUUUAUUGAGUUCACGAUAGUCCACGCACAAGCGAAGCGAUACAUCCUUCUUCUUGACAAAUAGAACCAGUGCUCCCGAUGGUGACACACUCGGUCGCACAAAACCCUUGUCCAGAAGGUCCUGCAGCUGUGCCUUCAGCUCCUUCAAUUCCGCCGGAGGGGGGAGCGACCGCCCUCGAGCACGGAACUCAUAGCAAGUAUGAUCAAAUCCUUAACUCAAAGGAUUAUAAGUUCAAUCUUGACUUUACACUAACUCUAGUGUUCUUCACAUCACUUGUUUUGCUAACUCUAGCAAUCUUUGUGCUUUACAUCUCUUUACUUUUAGCUACCUCUAGCGUUCGCGUUCUUUAUUCUUUACACGUUCUUUAUUGCUCUCUUUGCUUUAGCUUUAGUCAUCGUCAUCAUUCUUUACAUCACUUUGAUUCUUUGCUUCACACUAACUCUAGUGUCACUUUAACUUUACAUUAUUUAGAUGCCACUCGAUUUAUGUCAUAGUGUCACUCUGUUCUUUUGCCUCACUUGGGUACUCACAUUUUCUCUC